CACCCGGAGCGUUUCAAGGCUACCAACUCUGGUGAAAGACAAUAAUCCUGACAAACAAGAUAUACUUUUGAAUGAUCAUGGUUUGCCUCGGGUGACGAAACAUGCAAAGCUGCCUAGUUAUAUGGGCUUAAUGGCGAGGAUGCUUAUCCCGAUUCAUAUUGACUCGUGGAAUUAUGUUAACACUACACAGAAAGAUGCAUUGUGGGAUUGUAUUAAGAGUCGAUUCAAUAUUGAACCACACCUGAAAAAGACGAUGUUGCAAAAUUGCGGAAGUCUGUGGAGAACUUUUAAGUCCCGACUCACAAAAGACUAUGUUCUGCCAUUCAAGGAUGAACCUCAGAUUCUUAAGAAGCCUCCCCAGUUGUACCCAUAUAUCAAGCAACAUCAUUGGGACGCUUUUGUGAAAAGAAGAUUAUCUUCUGAAUUUAAGGAUAUCCAUGAUGAACAAUCAUAGAAGCGAUCUCUGAACAUUUAUGGCUGCCGCACCGGCCGUGCCGGAUACACAGGACUGGCGGAAAAAUUA